UACGUAGGUGGCAAGCGUUAUCCGGAUUUACUGGGUGUAAAGGGCGUGUAGGCGGGACUGCAAGUCAGAUGUGGAACCCAUGGGCUCAACCCAUGGCCUGCAUUUGAAACUGUAGUUCUUGAGUGAUGGAGAGGCAGGCGGAAUUCCGUGUGUAGCGGUGAAAUGCGUAGAUAUACGGAGGAACACCAGUGGCGAAGGCGGCCUGCUGGACAUUAACUGACGCUGAGGCGCGAAAGCGUGGGGAGCAAACAGG
rnacentral:rRNA from 1 species